AUCAUCUUGAUCCCGCUCUAAAAAGUUGUUUUAGCUUUUGCUCGGUCUUCCCUCAGGAUUAUAGAAUAUUUAAAGAGGAGUUGAUUAGGUUAUGGUCAGCACACGGCUAUCUUGUUCCUAGUGGUACAGAUAAUAGCAUUGAAGAUACUGGCGAAAGAUACUUUUCAAUUUUAUUGCAUAGGUGUUUUCUCCAAGACGUUGAGAAGAAUGAUAAUGGCGGGAUUAACUCAGUCAAAAUGCAUGAUCUCAUACAUGACCUUGCUCGAAAGGUAGCUGGGAUACUCAGUCAAAAUGCAUGAUUCUCUUAAUAUAGAAUAUGAUAUUGAUCGGGAUCAGAAAGGUCAGAAGAAAUUGCUGGAGUUCCUGUUCUGUAAUAGGCAAGCUCGGGAGUUAUCGAUUGUGGGCCUUAUUGGUACCGAAUUCGGCAAAUUGCCAAGUUGGGUGUCAGGGCUUGUGAGUAUCCGGUUAGAAUGUGAGGAGUUGCUAGAUCUGCCAUUAUCACUGAGUCAACUUUGCCAUCUCAAAUAUCUUACCCUUAAGAAUAUGCAGAGUAUGGAGUACAUAGAGAGUGAUGCCGAUGCAUCAUCUCCGUCUACGAAAUUCUUUCCGUGUCUUGAGGAUAAAGCAUCUCACCAACUUGAAUUUCCUCGAAAUUAGCAGAUGCGGUCAACUAGAAUCAUUGCUGGAAGAAAUGUGCCACCUCACCUCUCUCACUACACUUGUAAUACGUUAUUGCCUCGGACUGAAAUCACUGCCAGAAGCAAUAAAACACCUGACCUCCCUCACUACACUUGUAAUGGAACGUUGCCGGAAACUGAAAUCACUGCCAGAAGCAAUAAAACACCUUACCUCCCUCAAUACACUAGAAAUAAAAGAUCCCAGCCGUGAACUCAAGGAUAGAUGCCAGGAACCAGACGGGGAAGACUGGCUCAAAAUAUGCCACAUCCCUUAUAUAUAUGUUGAAGAUUUUUUGGAAUAUCAUAAGAAUCGACACUGAAAAGAAGAAGUCUAACCACUUGAGGUGAGGGGUGCAUUUCAUACCUGACUGACUGGCUGGUGCUAUUGAUCGCUAUUCAUGCUUAAAAAGAGAAGAUCUUCUGACAUUGAGAGAAACAAACUCUGUUGGCAAUGGUUAAUUGACAGUAACUUUUGAGCAGUAAUUAAAGAGAUAAAUUCUUGCUUUCUCUGAUGUAAAUACUCUCUAAAAGGAUAUGUGCUUAAAUGAUCACUGAUUGUAUUACUUGAUGCAAAAACCAUGGGAUUAUGUCGAAGACUCUGUAGCUACUUGGUAUUGAAUGUGGCUCAAUUCUGAAUCAAACAAGGGACGGUUUGUACACUUGUUGACUAGGCAAUUGACUCCUCAAGCAGAUACAGUUAUGGGAUUAGGACUAGAAGCAACCGACAUGGGGCAAGGGUGGUUUCAUACUUGACUGAUUGGCUGGUGGUAUUUUGUUGCAAUUCAUGCUCCAAAAGAGAAGAUGUUCUGAUGUAAUGAUAUCUAAAGAAACUUUGUUGGCCAUAGUUAUUGGGCAGAAUUUUGAAGUUGCAGAAAUCUCGAGCAGCAAAGAGAGCUUAUGUUUUAGUGAUAAGCUUGAGACUCCCUUGCUACUUGGUGUUGAAUGUUGCUAGCUCAAUUCUUAUCAGACAAGGGACAGUCAGUACACUUGUUGACUGAGUAAUGAACAUUUCACACCUACAUCUGCUCUGUAUCGUCUUAAAUAAGGCAAUCGACUCCUUAAGCAGAUACAGUUUUGGGGUUAUGACCAAUAGCUUUCGACAUGGGUUAGGCAAGGGUGAUCUUCAUACUUGACUGAUUGGAUGAUGAUAUUGGCUGCUAGUCAUGCUCCAAAAGAGAAGAUGUUCUGAUGUCGAAAGGUAAUUAAAUACAUAGUUCCUCAUCAAUCAAAUUUAACUGAUUUUAUGAUUUGUUUUGCCUUGGAAAUUAACCAUUUGCUCUCUGAUGUAUUUCCUGCAAAAUUCUGCUGGCAAUGGUCAUUGGGCAUUAAAUUUGAAGUCGCAGAUAUUUUGAGCAGCAAAGAGAUGAAAUAUUCUAGUGAUAAACUUGCUCCCUAAAAGGGGAUGUACUUAGGUGAUCGCAGAUUUUGUUACUCGAAGAAAAACCUUGGGAUUUGUGUUGGUAUGUAAUCCUUUUAACCCUCAACAAAGAGGAUAAAAAGGGGAAAAGAAAAAAAAAACAGGGGGAUAUUGGCUUGAAAAUAUCUGUCUUCGCGAUAUUUAAGAGAGAUUCCAUAGCUAGUUGGUGUCGAAUUUUGCUCAUGUUUGAAUCAGACAGGUGGUGGUCUGUAGACUUGACUGAUUGUCUGGUUUUGGCAUUGGUUGAAGUAUAUAUUGGAAUUGUGAGAAGAUAAACCAGUCUGAACUCUGAAGAGACAUUAUGUUGCAGUGGUUUCUUAAUGCAAUGGUUUUCCAUUUGUAAUAUGAAAUGAAGCCUUAGAACUGGAGGAUAAAUGACACUUAUUUGCUGCAGGCAGCUCUUAUGAUUAUAAUUAUUCCAAAGAGAAUGAGUUGGAGAUGCGAGAUGCAGAUUUACUGAUUUUCUGGUCACUCCUGCAACAUUCAUCUCUGCAUUACUGGGCAUAACUCUUAAAAGUGUUGUUAUGUGGACGUCUCUACCAUAGUUAUAUUUGAAGCCCUGAAGCAUUGGAUUCCUAUCGGUUUUGCUUAUGCUCUUGCCGCAUAAUAACUGGACGAGUUGAAAGUAACUAACGAAAAUAUUCCAGCUGCAUCCACACAGAAAUCCCUGACAACUCAGCUGAUGGCUAGCAAUUUCCCUGCCCUUGACAGUUUAUAAUGGAAUGGUAAUGCUGUUACUGCUCUGAAUGACUUAGGAGAUCAUGUUGCAAACUUGGGACCAUAAUGCUAACAAUUUUAGACUCAGCAAGUCAGCAACGGUGGUUCUAGCAGCAUGUUUCUGACAUUCAAUGCUCAUGUUAUUGGCCGGCUUGCUCGUGUUGAUAGACAUGGUGACCUGUUCCUACAUGAUGCAGUUGUACCUGAUGAAGAGAUGGUUCACUGAUGCACGAUAACCUGUUUUCAUUUGAACUGGAUCAUGGUUGAGUUGUUGCUGCGCGAUGCUACCAUAUCAGUCCCUAUCAGACGAUGCAGAGCUACCUACCUCAUCUUAGCUUUCUGUAAUUUCUUUGCAAAUUUAAGUGCUUGUGUUCUAGUUUUACGCUCUCACCUAACCACAUGAUGUGGGGGCAGUUGACAACCCUUCCUAGAAGGUGGGUUUUCUGUCCCUCUGAUGCUUUGUACAGGUGAAAAAAUCAAUACAACAAUGUUGCUUUGUGUAAUGCCUGAUGUUGAACUUGUAGUGUCUAAUGGUGUAGAUAUGUCUCGAACUUGUAGGCUUACAAUCGGGCUAUGUUUCUAUGUAUAACCUAUCACGAUUUACGAGCAUCAGAUUGAAUAGAGAGACCCACAAUUGCAUUC